rnacentral:pre_miRNA from 1 species
AAGAAAUUUUACAUCGGCCAUUAUAAUACAACCUGAUAAGUGUUACAGCACUUAUCAGAUUGUAUUGUAAUUGUCUGUGUAUAU